rnacentral:rRNA from 1 species
GACGAACCGUACGAACGUUAUUCGGAAUUACUGGGCUUAAAGGGUGCGUAGGCUGCGCGGAAAGUUGGGUGUGAAAUCCCUCGGCUCAACCGAGGAACUGCGCUCAAAACUACCGUGCUCGAGGGAGACAGAGGUGAGCGGAACUUAGGGUGGAGCGGUGAAAUGCGUUGAUAUCCUAAGGAACACCCGUGGCGAAAGCGGCUCACUGGGUCUCUUCUGACGUUGAGGCACGAAAGCUAGGGUAGCGAACGGG